UGUAGGUUAUUUGAAUAGGCUGAGCCAUCAGUGAAAAGAGAGGUUUGGUGUCUCACAAAUAGGACAUCUGAGAAUAUGAAGUCAAUAUGACACUCAGGGGGAGCCAGCUGGCAUGUUAUGAAGACACUUGAGCAGCUGUACAUGCAGACAAGUCCUCGUGAUGAGGGGUUCGGGCCUCCUGCCAACAGCCAUGGGAGUGAGCCAUCUUGGAAUCAGGUCCCUCAGCUGCCGUUAGGCAACUCUGCAACUCUGCCUGAUGUCUUGACUACAGUCCUGGAGACCCUGAACCAGACCCGUCCAGCUCAGCUGCUUCCAGAUUCCCAACCCUCAGACACUGGGGGAAGAUGCCAACUCUUGGGUAAAAUGAUGCUUCCAAGCUCCCCACUUUGUCAGGAGAAGAACCAUGGCUUGAACCCACAUGGCACUGAGUACAAGGCAUCAUGAAACUGGAUCCAAAUAGAAAGUUAACCAGAUGCUGCUCACC